GGUUGGAUCAUUAGAAAUUUUUGCCGUGUGUCAGAGUUGAUUCUUGCGAGUCCUCUGAGGCGUGGUAAACUUACAACUGUGCCGUGUCUGUGUGUGGUAACCACACAUUACUUGAAACCAUUAGAAUUCAUUCUUAUUUUUUGUUUUGAUUUAUAAACAACUUUUGACAACGGAUCUCUUGGCUCUCGCAACGAUGAAGAACGCAGCGAAAUGCGAUACGUAAUGUGAAUUGCUUUCCGUGAAUCAUCAAAUCUUUGAACGCACAUUGCACUCUUUGGAGUAUGCUUGUUUGAGAAUCUAUAUAAUCUAUUCGCUUUGUCUGACUGACUGACAGUCUGACAGAGGGAGAAAUGAUUUUCCCAAUCACGUGGUUGCGGCAUUUACUUGCCACCUGACAUCCACUCCACGGGUUUAUCAAAAGUUAUUCCACCUCGUCUCGCCUUACCGUGAGGACCAGGGAAAAGUAUGUGAGUCUCUGACCAGAGAAUCACAAUGCCUAAUACCAGGGACAGGGCUCCGAGGACUCAACACAUCAAGAUCUCAAAUCAAGUAGGAGGACCCGCUGAACUUAAGCAUAUCAAUAAGCGGAGGAAAAGAAACUAAACAAAGGAAAAUUCCCCUAGUAACGGCGAGUGAAGCGGGAACAGCUCAAAUUUGAAAUCUCCUCCGGGCGAAUUGUAGUUUAGAGAAGCGUUUUCGGACAGAGGGCAGGUACAAGUUCAUUGGAACAUGACAUCAAAGAGGGUGAAAAUCCCGUUUUUGACCUGCUUGACGGCCAUGUGAUACGUUUUCCAAGAGUCGGUUUGUUUGGGAACGCAGACCAAAAUGGGAGGUAAAUACCUUCUAAAGCUAAAUAUUGGCGAGAGACCGAUAGCGAACAAGUACCGUGAGGGAAAGAUGAAAAGAACUUUGAAAAGAGAGUUAAACAGUACGUGAAAUUGUCAAAAGGGAAACGUUUGAAACCAGUAUUGGUUUGUUGUAGUCAGCCUUGACGUGAGUCCAGGAGUAUUUACAGCAAGCCGAGUCAACAUCAGUUUUGUUGGGUGGAGACAGAGGGGAAAAGGUAGCCCUUUGGGUGUUAUAGUUCCCCGUACAACAGCCGACAAGACUGAGGACUGCAGCGUUUUUGGCCCACGGGCACACCAGCGCUUGGGAUGUUGACGAAAUGGUUUUAAGCGACCCGUCUUGAAACACGGACCAAGGAGUCUAACAUGUAUGCGAGUAUUUGGGUGGUAAACCCUUGUGCGUAAUGAAAGUGAAAAGGUGGGAUCCUUUGGGAGCACCAUCGACCGCGCCGGAUUAUAGCUAUCCUGGCGUGAGUAUGAGCAUAUAUGCUGGGACCCGAAAGAUGGUGAACUAUGCCUGAACAGGGUGAAGCCAGAGGAAACUCUGGUGGAGGCUCGUAGAGGUUCUGACGUGCAAAUCGAUCUUUUGAUUUGGGUAUAGGGGCGAAAGACUAAUCGAACCAUCUAGUAGCUGGUUCCCUC
rnacentral:misc_RNA from 1 species